CAGGUACCUGGUUCUUCCCGCCCUCCUAACUGCCUCCCCUCCUGGCUGGGAACCUGCUGCACUCCAACCUUGGGGUAGGGGACUUCCCAGUGCUGUGGCUGGCCAGCUUCUUCCCUGCUUCCUCCUGCUUCUCUGUGUCCUUGCAUUCUCUCACCGGGUGACCUUUGAAGGCAGAACUGGCUCUCUUUUCUCUGUGUCUGCAUCUAUAUCGGGCCCUACACCUGGCAAUACUACAAGGCUACAGAGUGAAUGGUGGAAGCCUAGGGCUGUCAGUGCACUCCUCCAGGUGGAGAAAAUGCAGAAGGCCCUGGCUGCAGGUGUGAAGGUGGUUGGUGGCUUGUGUCUAUCGUAC
rnacentral:lncRNA from 1 species